rnacentral:rRNA from 1 species
GACGAACGCUGGCGGCGUGCUUAACACAUGCAAGUCGAACGGAAAGGCCCCUUUGGGGGUUCUCGAGUGGCGAACGGGUGAGUAACACGUGAGUAACCUGCCCUUGACUUCGGGAUAACUUCAGGAAACUGGGGCUAAUACCGGAUAGGAAUCCUUGCUGCAUGGUGGGGGUUGGAAAGCUUCGGCGGUUUUGGAUGGACUCGCGGCUUAUCAGCUUGUUGGUGGGGUAGUGGCUUACCAAGGCUUUGACGGGUAGCCGGCCUGAGAGGGCGACCGGCCACAUUGGGACUGAGAGACGGCCCAGACUCCGACGGGAGGCAGCAGUGGGGAAUAUUGCACAAUGGGCGGAAGCCUGAUGCAGCAACGCCGCGGGCGGGAUGACGGCCUUCGGGUUGUAAACCGCUUUCAGCAGGGGCGAAGCUUGUGGUGACGGUACCUGCAGAAGAAGCACCGGCUAACUACGUG